AAAUUGUUGCAGUUAAAAAGCUCGUAGUUGGAUCUAGGGACGCGCAUUUCAAGCGCCCGUGUCGUUGGGUCAAACCAGCGACUGCGUUGGCGUUGCGGGCUCGGUCCGUCGGUGCCCACAAAACACUGGUGUGUCAACCGGCCCGCCCGUCCGUUCCUUCUGGAUUCCACGUUCCUGCUAUUGAUUUAGUGAGGACGUACACAGGGAGCUCAUCGUUGUCAGCAAUGCCGGCGGUGGGUUCCUGGGGCCCAGAUCGUUUACCGUGAAAAAAUUAGAGUGUUCAAAGCAGGCAGAUCCAAUUUUCUGCCACCGAAUACAUUAGCAUGGGAUAAUGGAAUAGGACCCUGUCCUCCUAUUUUCAGUUGGAUUUGGCAGCGCGAGGACUAGGGUAAUGAUUAAUAGGAUAGUUGGGGGCAUUAAUAUUUAAUUGUCAGAGGUGAAAUUCUUGGAUUUAUGAAAGAUUAACUUCUGCGAAAGCAUCUGCCAAGGAUGUUUUCAUUAAUCAAGAACGAAAGUUAGGGGAUCGAAGACGAUCAGAUACCGUCGUAGUCUUAACCAUAAACGAUGCCGACCAGCGAUUAGGAGACGUUGAAUACAAAACACCACCAUCGGUGCGGUCGUCCUUGGCGUCUCGGUUUCGGCCGGGGUGCGGGGACGGCUUAGCCCGGUGGCACCGGUGAAUGACUCCCCUAGCAGCUUGUGAGAAAUCAUAAGUCUUUGGGUUCCGGGGGGAGUAUGGUCGCAAGGCUGAAACUUAAAGGAAUUGACGGAAGGGCACCACCGGGGGAAU
rnacentral:rRNA from 1 species